GACGGAGGGUGCAAGCGUUGUUCGGAAUUACUGGGCGUAAAGGGCGCGUAGGCGGUCUGUUAAGUUCGGUGUGAAAGCCCCCGGCUCACCUGGGGAACUGCGCCGGAAACCGACAGACUCGAGUACCGGAGAGGAGGGUGGAAUUCCUGGUGUAGCGGUGAAAUGCGCAGAUAUCAGGAGGAACACCGGUGGCGAAGGCGGCACUCUGGGCCGGUACUGACGCUGAGGAGCGAAAGCGUGGGGAGCGAACAGG
rnacentral:rRNA from 1 species